rnacentral:rRNA from 1 species
UAGGGAAUAUUGGACAAUGGGCGAGAGCCUGAUCCAGCCAUGCCGCGUGCAGGAAGAAGGCCUUCUGGGUUGUAAACUGCUUUUGCCGGGGGAUAAAAUACCCAUGCGUGGGGAAUUGAAGGUACCCGGUGAAUAAGCCACGGCUAACUACGUGCCGGCAGCCGCGGUAAUACGUAGGUGGCGAGCGUUGUCCGGAUUUAUUGGGUUUAAAGGGUGCGUAGGCGGCCCCGUUAGUCAGCGGUGAAAUACGGCAGCUUAACUGUCGAGGUGCCGUUGAUACUGCGGGGCUUGAGUGCGGUCGAGGAGGGCGGAAUUGACGGUGUAGCGGUGAAAUGCUUAGAUAUCGUCAAGAACACCGAUAGCGAAGGCAGCCCUCCAGGCCGCA